ACUGGGAUUUAUUUGUCUGUUUAAUCUUAUUGUAUAAGCCAAGGGAGCAAAGACCAAAUAUAGUCCAUUUUGCAUUUAUAUUUAUAUUGCCACAUUUCAGCAGUUUUUAUUCUGACUUUUAUUUUAUUUUCUACUAUUGCUUACAUUCAGGAAUUUACCAUAGCAAAUACAGACAGAUGCAGAAAGGCAUUGUUCCCAUCCGCCAAUGGCCAGCAGAAGGCAGUGUGUGCUAAUUUUCCAUGAUGUAAAUUAGAAUCUCUUGCUUGCUGCCUCCAAUCAAGUUGAAGGUCCUGCUCUUUGGAAUUCCAGACAAUAUGUCCAACUUCAGAAUGUUGUCUGGAUGCAGCUAGGAACCAACUGUGUUGUCCUUCGUUUCAGUCAUUGAAUGUGCCAUUAAUUUGUGCCAUUCACAAGAUCUAUUGGAUUUAUGCUUCAUGAAACUACAAAGCCGAGGCAAACAAUCUGCUCCCAUUAUUAAACUAUAGCAGGCUGACUAUUAUUUACAAUACCAGCUAUGUCCCAUUUCGCA